rnacentral:rRNA from 1 species
UACGGAAGGGCAGCAGUGGGGAAUAUUGCACAAUGGGCGAAAGCCUGAUGCAGCUAUGCCGCGUGUAUGAAGAAGGCCUUAGGGUUGUAAAGUACUUUCAUCGGGGAGGAAAAAACAAAACUAAUAAUUUUAUUUCUUGACGUUACCCGAAAAAGAAGCACCGGCUAACUCCGUGCCAGCAGCCGCGGUAAUACGGAGGGUGCUAGCGUUAAUCAGAAUUACUGGGCGUAAAGAGCACGUAGGUGGUUUUUUAAGUCAGAUGUGAAAUCCCUGGGCUUAACCUAGGAACUGCAUUUUGAAACUGAAAUACUAGAGUAUCGUAGAGGGAGGUAGAAUUCUAGGUGUAGCGGUGAAAUGCGUAGAUAUCUGGAGGAAUACCUGUGGCGAAAGCGGCCUCCUAAACGAAUACUGACACUGAGGUGCGAAAGCGUGGGGAGCAAACAGGGAUUAGAUACC